rnacentral:rRNA from 1 species
UACGAAGGGGGCUAGCGUUGUUCGGAAUUACUGGGCGUAAAGCGCGCGCAGGCGGUUUCUCAAGUCAGUGGUGAAAGCCCGGAGCUCAACUCCGGAACUGCCAUUGAAACUGUGAAACUUGAGGACGAGAGAGGUGAGUGGAAUUCCCAGUGUAGAGGUGAAAUUCGUAGAUAUUGGGAAGAACACCAAUGGCGAAGGCAGCUCGCUGGGACGGUACUGACGCUGAGACGCGAAAGCGUGGGGAGCAAACAGG